AAUCACAUAAUAACUAAUUGUUUCAUUACAGGUGAAUCAAUGACCAACACCAAUGCUUAUAAGUGUUUCAAAACGUUAAUGAGAGUGGAGAGCUCACAGGAAAGUUUUGAUUUCCUACCAUCGGUCAUCGACUUUCCCAUGUUUUUUGAAGAAAUCCUCGGUAUUGAUAUGGACAGAGACAAAGUGACAGAAAAUGCAGAAGAUACUAGUCGAAGAACUCAUGAAACUGAUCAAGAAUUAUAACAGCUGAGAAAUGAAUGUAUUUUUAAAUUAAUAUUUUCAGAAUAACAAUAUGAAACUGCAAAUUUCAAGAAAAAUUAAAUGAAACAAAUAUAUUUACAUCGUUAAUUCAUAUUACCUGUGAACAUUAA